rnacentral:rRNA from 1 species
GAGGAAGGCGGGCGGCGUGCCUAAUACAUGCAAGUCGAGCGAACGGACGAGAAGCUUGCUUCUCUGAUGUUAGCGGCGGACGGGUGAGUAACACGUGGAUAACCUACCUAUAAGACUGAGAUAACUUCGGGAAACCGGAGCUAAUACCGGAUAAUAUUUUGAACCGCAUGGUUCAAAAGUGAAAGACGGUCUUGCUGUCACUUAUAGAUGGAUCCGCGCUGCAUUAGCUAGUUGGUAAGGUAACGGCUUACCAAGGCAACGAUGCAUAGCCGACCUGAGAGGGUGAUCGGCCACACUGGAACUGAGACACGGUCCAGACUCCUACGGGAGGCAGCAGUAGGGAAUCUUCCGCAAUGGGCGAAAGCCUGACGGAGCAACGCCGCGUGAGUGAUGAAGGUCUUCGGAUCGUAAAACUCUGUUAUUAGGGAAGAACAUAUGUGUAAGUAACUGUGCACAUCUUGACGGUACCUAAUCAGAAAGCCACGGCUAACUACGUG